rnacentral:rRNA from 1 species
GCUAACUAGCUAGCCAAACACCUGGACUAAUUUUACAUUAUAAAUAUUCCCUCACAACCUGACAACUUGUGAACAAAUCAUUUUUCCACCUGAGUACGGGCGACGGAAAGGGAGCAAAUUGAGCGACAGAGAAAGUACCGCAAGGGAAAGCUGAAAAAGAAGUGAAACAACCCAUAUAAGCACCAUAAAGCAAAGAUUAAAGCUUGUACCUUUUGCAUCAUGAUCUAGCCAGAAUACUCAGGCGAAGAGAACUUUAGUUUGAGCCCCCGAAACUGGACGAGCUACUCCGAGACAGCCUAUUGUAGGGCACACCCGUCUCUGUUGCAAAAGAGUGGGAAGAGCUCCGAGUAGAAGUGAAAGACCUAUCGAGUCUAGUUAUAGCUGGUUGUUCGAGAAAUGAAUAGGAGUUCAGCCCCCUAGCUUCUCACAUCCCUAAGAUCCUUCUUCUAGUGAUUAAGAGAAACCGGGGGAGUUAUUCGAAGGAGGUACAGCUCCUUCGAACAAGGACACAACCUUUGCAGGCGGUCAAGGAUCAAAAUUCUUAAGGAAAACUGUUUCAGUGGGCCUAAGGGCAGCCACCUGAUUAGAAAGCGUUAAAGCUCAGACAGUAUAAUCCUCUUAUCCUGAUAACCUUUCCUCCACCCCUAGUUUUACCGAACCGUCCCAUGCCCCCAUGGGAGUGACCCUGCUAGAAUGAGUAAUAAGAGGGGCUACCCCCUCUCCCCGCACAUGUGUAAGUUGGACCGGACCCCCCGCCGACAAAUAACGAACCCAACCCUAGAGGGGAAUUUGGACUGAAUUACAACCAAGAAAACUCCAAAGUGACCAUCGUUAAUCCCACACAGGAGUGCCUAGAGGAAAGACUAAAAGGGGGAAAAGGAACUCGGCAAACACAAGCCUCGCCUGUUUACCAAAAACAUCGCCUCUUGAUCACACACGCAUAAGAGGUCCCGCCUGCCCGGUGACCCUGGGUUAAACGGCCGCGGUAUUUUAACCGUGCGAAGGUAGCGCAAUCACUUGUCCUUUAAAUGAAGACCUGUAUGAAUGGCUAGACGAGGGCUUAACUGUCUCCUCCCCCCAGUCAAUGAAAUUGAUCUCCCCGUGCAGAAGCGGGGAUUCUCCCAUAAGACGAGAAGACCCUAUGGAGCUUUAGACACUAGACGGCCUACGUUAAGCUCCCUACUCUAAUGGGGAAAAGCAUUAUAGCCCCCGUCUCUCCUGUCUUCGGUUGGGGCGACCGCGGAGGACAAAAAGCCUCCAUGUGGACCGGGGUCACAGACCCCACAGCUGAGGGCUGCGGCCCCAAGCAACAGAAAAUCUGACCAAGAUGAUCCGGCAAAUUUGCCGAUUAACGGAACAAGUUACCCUAGGGAUAACAGCGCAAUCCUCUCCCAGAGUCCCUAUCGACGAGGGGGUUUACGACCUCGAUGUUGGAUCAGGACAUCCUAUUGGUGCAGCCGCUAAUAAGGGUUCGUUUGUUCAACGAUUAAAGUCCUACGUGAUCUGAGUUCAGACCGGAGCAAUCCAGGUCAGUUUCUAUCUAUGAAAUGGUCUCUCCCAGUACGAAAGGACCGGAGAGAAGAGGCCCAUGCCCAGGGCACGCCCCACCCUCACCUGCUGAAGGCAACUAAAACAGACAAGAGGGCAUACUCAGGUGUGUCAGAGAGCAUGACAUCCUAGUGUGGCAGGGCUCGGGUAACAACCCACCCUGCU